ACUAUUCGAGUCUCAAGAUUAAGUUCGUCAGUCGUACUUAGGACGCAGUGAUGUAUACUUCAAAUCUUGCAAGACCGUUCACAGCACCGAGCCAUUGUCACAUCUCAUAUACCUAUGUCGACAAUAAUAAUAAUUGAUUCAUCGUCGAUCCUAUAAAUCUACACAUUCUGAGAUUCCAAAUACCACUCAUUCACUGAUCGCUUGCUGUUCUCAAAAAUCACUCAACGACUCAUCGUACGAACUUUAAAUUUGGAAUAGUGAUUAAAAACACACACACACACAUCAUUGUAACAUCAAUACAUUCAUCACUUAGUUCAGAAUCUAACAAAUUAUGCUGUACAGACACAAAAAAUUAUAAAAUAAACAUGCAUAUAAUUAUUGCUCGGAGUUGUCAACCAGAUUGAUGUUGGUAAAUGGUUUGUGGCCGCAGCGACGCUGUGAUUGGAUAUUGCGCGUGGUUGCUGCGGAGCUGUGAUUGGAUAUUGCGCGUGGCCGCACGGCGGCAAUAACGUUGGUCAACCGAGGCAUUCGUCGCCACUGCUCCGUGUCUUAUGUCACCGUCGAGUGUUGCACCGGUCCCGUGUUCUGUUGCUGACUCUGCCGGCCGAGUUCGUCGACGGUACAUGACCGACCGGUCAGAUGACUAGGUUAGGUCAGGAACAGACCACGGGACCGCCGCAACAUUCGACGGCCACUGACACGACACGGAGCAGCGGGGAAAUAUUUUGAAAAUUAAAACAUAUAAAGAAAAUGCCAUUCUAAAUAACUGGUGAAAUUUUCAAGUAUCUAUGCGACUUAUACUUUUUGAAUAAUAAAAAAUAUUUAAAAUCGUUUUAGGAUAAUAUACAUUUAUUAUAAAUUCUUGAUCAAUUUAAUUUAUAAAUAUAUAGGUGUAUAUAGGUGUAUAAUCAGUACAUGCCGAUAUAGGUACAAAAAAGGGUGAUUUAAUUUAUUUACACUAAAUGUACACCUUAAUUAAUACAUUUACAAAUACAAUGUUUUUUUAUAGCUUAAUUAAUAUAUAAGACAUAAUUUGAUAAAAUUUAACAGUACAAUUCUUAGUUUAAAACUAAAUCUCAAGUUUCCAGUCGUUUGUUAGGACAGAUAUACGCAUCAACAAUAUUAUUUUAAAAUGGAAUGUUUUUUCUUUUUUAUAAAUGCAAUACAAAUAAAAUGUUUAUCUAUGCUUUAAAAGACUUAAAAUAAUAGAGUACAUAUCACAAAUGGCAACAAUACAUAAACUUCUUACAUGCCAUCUAAAAUGAGGAUAAAAAAAAUACAUUCUUAUAAUAUAUGAUAAUA